UGAAAUGAUUUAGAGUCACACAAAUAUUUACGGCUUCUUUUAGACCAUAAAUUUCAAAAGUGUUUUUUUCUUUCUUAAAUUCAGUGCCUAGUCAAACUAUAUCACAUAAAUUUGGACGGACGGAGUACUAAAUACUAAUAACCAAAAAAAAAUAAAAAAAUAGUGGCAAUACGAUCAGUUUUUUUAUAGUUUCUUUUAUUUUUCAUUUGGAGCCAAACUUUCCCCCCAAAAAUUGAAAGUCCCAAAGACCAAAUCUAUCCCAAAAAUUUAAAACCCAACCGACAGUUCCUUCUCACAAAAUAAAAACUGGAAACCCAUAUUUUCUUUGCUCCUACAUUUUCACUGGCGGCCUACCUUCUCCUUUCUCCCUUUGCUCCUACAUUUUCUUAUCUUUUUCUGGUUGAAAUUUAUGGGUCAAUUAACUCUUUUGAUUUACUUUUUCUUUUGUAGGUUUUACAAAGUGGAGGUCUAAAAGAGACGUUACAUUGGAUCAUACUUCUGUGGAUGUGAAGCUUAGUGAUGCGGAGAGUAAGCUUACUUUACCCUGAGAUGAAAGAAGAUCAUGGGGUGCAACAGCUCUAAUCACCGAGCAAAUGUUUAGUGCUUUUUUAUGUUUUAUUGAUAUAGAACUAUUUUUGUUCUUUUUGGAUUUAAAGUUGUAACAAUUAACUUAUAAUAUACGAGUUUGUAUUACUUGAGUUUGACAUGAAUAAUUUAAAUUCAUGUUACUUCUUAUACUAUGAAUUUAGUUGGUGAAAUUUUAUUUACAUUAUGUGUUAGUUA